rnacentral:rRNA from 1 species
GACGAACGCUGGCGGCGUGCUUAACACAUGCAAGUCGAGCGGUAAGGCCCUUUCGGGGGUACGACGAGCGGCGAACGGGUGAGUAACACGUGGGUGACCUGCCCUCCAGCUCUGGGAGUAAGCCUGGGAAACCGGGUACUAAUACCGGAUAUGACUCCAUGACGCAUGUUGUGGGGUGGAAAGCCUUGUGCGGCUGGGGAUGGGCCCGCGGCCUAUCAGCUUGUUGGUGGGGUGAUGGCCACCAAGGCGACGACGGGUAGCCGGCCUGAGAGGGCGACCGGCCACACUGGGA